GGAUGUUGAGAGUAUUCAUGUAAUUUGCCUCCUGCCAGUCCAGCUCGCUACUUCCGCCAAGAACUCGGGUUCCCUCAGUCAACAGCAAGAUGGAAAUGUUCCAGAAGUCUUUCUUCUUGAUGUCGGUCACAAACUCGAGCGGUGGAUGAUAUCCUUUGAAAGGUUUUGCUGCUCCUGAAACUUCUUGUAUUUCACCUCUUCGUGGUUCUGAUUCUAAUAAUGUAACUUUCGUGACAGCGGAAAAGUACGAACUCUAUGCUUGGAAAGUUUCAAAACAGCGUAGUGGUGACCACAAUUUCAGAAAGGAGAUCUUCUAUGAAGUAAAGGAAGCUUUAUUUUUCAUGUUGAUUCAUGUUUUCUUUCCUAUUUAGCGUUCUGUUAGUGAAUUACAAUUGCGUAAGCGAAGUUGCUGCGAGUUCGGAUCUCCUAUGAAGUAAGCUUCUUCUUCUUUGGAUGUUGAUUGAUUUUUUUCUUUCUUUUUUUAGAGUUUACGUGAGCAAGUUGCUGAAACUGAAUUUGUAUUUUCUUCUUUACAGCAUGACACAUUCGAGGUAUGAUUUUUGGUUUUUUUUUGGAAAAGGUGAAGCUACAGCCUAUGUAAGUUCAAUAGGGCGCUGUUGACGAGCUCCUCGAGGCUUCUGGAAUGCUUGGUAAGUCCCACAAAACCCGAAAACGUUAAGAAGUUUUCUUCGUCUGAGGCAGUCGCUGACAUUGCUUCCAGGGACGUCUCCAUUUCACCGUCUUCUCUAAAACGUCGCAAGAACCUGGCGUCCUUUGCCAUCAAGCUGUUCAGAAGCUCUACGCUAUAUCGCCGGAUACGAUUCAAGCUCCUAGAAGGUGCUGUCUGGGAUAGAAGCUCUGUGAUUUUUUCGCAAAGCCGUUGUUCAAAGUUACGUGUGUCGAGCCAGGGGAUUAUGGCUGCUGCCAAACCGAUGGCUGCCUGCUGUUCCUUGUCUGUGGAUUCCAGCACCAUCUGGAUGAUGGGAGAUAUGGCUGCUCCAAGCUCCAACUUUUCUUCGUCGUUAAGCUCACCGCACAAGCUUCGCAAAAUUGUGGCUGCAUGGACUCCAAUUGGCUUGGUGAGCAUGUUGAUCAAGCUCUUGAGGGUCUUGCUAACGCCACCUUGGCUGUAGCUUUUGCGCCUGAGGAGCCUCGAGCAAUUGUUGGGACACUGGAGGACGAGCAAAAAUAUGGCUUCCCCGGCUCUCAUGGCGAUGCUCAACUGGUGGCUGUUCGGUGCGGUUUCUCUCGCAAAUAUGGCCAUCAAGCUUUGGAUAACUCCUCCAGUUGCACCAAUGCAAUCUCUAAGCUCGUCCUCGGUUGCUAACAGCUUGAUCACGUCUACUGCCAGGUCCUGUAGCUCCAAAUCUUCGAGAUUGCAUAUCCUUUGAAGACUUCUUACUGCUGACACUACCGACACUAUCUUCUUUCGCAGAGACCGUCCAGAAUCUCCUCCCGCGCCAGCCAAUGUCCUCAAAAGCUCGAGUGAUCGACGGAAUACUUUUCUCGACGUUCGUACUUCGAGGAAGUUCCAGUCUUCGUCUUGGAUAAACGCAACCAGGAUGGAGAUAAGUCCGCUGGUGUUACCGAUUCGCACGCAUGUCCUGUGGUCCACGGCUAGCCUGUUGAGGAUAGCGAGUCCGUAUCUCUGUUCUUCUGGCACUAUCUUCUCUCCUGCGGUUAAAAGGGAAAUGAUGGCUUCCAGGGAUCCAGGGAUAGCGGAAAUCCUGAAGCAGUUACUCCGGUGACGAAGCAGGUACUUGAUUACUAUCGUUGCAGCUUUCCUGAUUUCGGCCUCACUAAGAUCCUUCCAGGUGAUCAUCUCUAAGAGUCUCUCCACAACUCCACAACUACACAGGAGGAAGAAAGAAAAGGUAGAGAAGAAAGUGAAGAAGAAUCAAUGAAGAAGACGAAGAAAGGAGCUAAUUACUUCUGUCCGUGAAGAUGAGUGGAGAGAGCAACUUCAAAGAGCUAAAACUUUCACAUGACAAACGGUCAGACGAGAAACUGGAGCACUAGUGCUGCGAUUCCAGAUUGAUCAAUGUUGUUUGACAACAAUGAUCUGACACACACAAGACUGUUUUCUUCGUCUCGGUAGCGCCCUUUCUACUGUUGCACAACAAACUAUUGCACAGCCGUGGAAGGGAAUAAUAGUAUAUAGAAACCUGUUGUAUCUCGUACUCUUGCUCUAUAAAUUCUCCAUAAACUUAAAGCUUCUUCUUCCAGGCCUAGAGAAAAGUCGGCUUCAAACACACGGCAUGGCCAUCUUUUUGUGUGUACUGUGCAGAACUCUCCCUUUCAACCAGGUCUUAUAGUUUGCCACUUACUAAGCUUAGGUGGUGGGAAAGAAAAAACUGGAGUAGUGAUGUUUCUAUCUUAUACUUAAGAACCUUGUGUUGGCUCGAGGAGUAGUACUACGAAGUGGUGUAACAAACGCAAAGCUUGGACAGGGCAGAUUGCUACUGAACACUAUUGCCAUUGCCACAAGCCUCAAAUUUGCAGGGCAAACUUUCUUUUCCUUCUUGUGAAUAUUACAAUUUUCUUUCAUUGUGCAAGAUAAAAAUUAAGUUAUACCUCCCAAUAUAUAGAUAUUUAUAUAUAAAAAACUUUUUAAUACAACUAAUUCAAUUACACAAAAUCUUUGUUUGCUUUUUUUGAUGACAUGCAUCAUAAACAUGCCCCUAAUUGAUCUUGUUGUACUCAUUAUCACCAUUUAAAUAGAUGAAUAUCAAAUCAUUUAAAGUUUCAAUAUUUAAAUAGCAUUUUGAAGUAGUUUUUAACUGAUUUUGAUAAGAAAAUCCACCUUCAGCACAAGUAGUGCUCACAGGUAUCAAAGAGAUAAUUUUGCAUAAUUCUAUCAAAUUAAAACAUAUAUCUAUCAUGGAAAUAUCAUCUCUGCAUAUUUGCCAAGCGACUAGCUUAUUUUUUGUUAACAGAUUACUUUGCAUAAUAGUUACAAACUUUGUGAAUUCUCCUUUACAUUUUUCCCCAUCAACAAAAGCACCAUAUUAGUUCAGUAAAAUAUUUAGCCAUUUGUAAAAGUUGUUAUCCAAUUUUUCCUUAUCAUUUGAAUAAUUCUUUGGGCUGAACAGUUUUGUAGUAUUAAAUAUGCCUAUAUCUUUUCCCAUUCUAGCUAACAUAUCAAUGUAUAGUUUUUGAACACACUCCUUAUUUAAAUUUAAGUAAGAGCUUAAGCUCCCAUCUCCUUUGCUCUCUAGAAUAGAAGUAUAAUUUAAGACAUGCUUAUGUUAUUCCUUUUCAGCAUUUAUAAACUUGAUAAAUUCAUCUUUAGUAACCUCCACAAAAUUACUCAAGUGUUUCACACUAAGAGUCUCUUUCAGAAAUUUUCUUUUGAUACUUUUCAAAGUACCAUAUAAUUACCCAACAAUGCUAGCAAUAUCCACAGUUUCAACUUUAAAAGAUUUUGUUCAAACUAUUUAAUUCCAGAAGUAUAUUAGGUAGCAUAUGAAUAAAUGAUCAAUCUUUUUAAAACUUCCCCAUGAAAUAAUCAACGUACACUGUGGAUUUGAAGCAUACCUAAUGUAAAUAUAUUUAUAGCAUCUUCUAGAGGCCUAAAAGCCAUGACUCUUUUUCUAAAAGUAUGCAACCAUUUAUAAAUUUGAUUGCAUAGCUUUUGAACAAUCAUAAGUUUAAAAAAUGCAUGCACAACUUCAAUAGCCACUAAACUUUAUUUAUGUGUUAAGUAAUGCACUCCAAGCAAGUGUGGAAUGUUAUGUUUCAAUAUUGUCACUAGACCAAAUUAUUUUCCAACCAUAAUAAAAGCUCCAUCAGUUUCAAUAACAACACAUUUUCCCUUUUUAAAGUUCAUUUCUUCCAAAACCUUUUUGAUGGCUUCAUAUUUAUUUACAACCUUUAGUUACCAUCAAUUUGAAAAAGUAAGUUUUAUUCAGACUUUUUUCUUUUUCUUGCAUAUGGAAAGAGAUGUAUAUGAUAAGAUGAGAUUCCAAACUUUUAUCAGUAUUGUUAUCCACCAUAAUAGAAAAGUAAGGACUAGCUCAAAUAUUUUGGCAAACAUCUUUCCAUCACAUAUCUUUUUUGCAUUUUACAAACUUUUUUCCACUCAUAGCAUUCAUAUAAGCCUUAUACUCUAUGGUGAUUGGCAUAUAGGGCAUUUCUAUAAACCUAUUAAAUUCACACAAAGAUUUAUAGCUUUGUAAAGGUAAUCCUUUAUUCACAAUGAAGUACAUGUGUUGCAUUAAGGAAAUCAAUUUAUUUUUGUGUUGAUCUUUUUGAGCAGUAAUAUAUUUAAGGAUAGAUAACCCUUUCUUUUUUCUUUACUUCCCAAAUAACUAUAGCUAAUUGAUGUUAUUUGGAAUUAUUAUGCUAUUUUAAAAUUGGUUUUUGAAAAGUCAAAGAACCAUCCUUACCAAAAAAAUUAUACUUUUUAGCAUAUACAUAUAUCAUACAUUUUAUUUUUUAAUUGCCUUCAACAUCUAUCACAAGAUACACCCAAGGAAAACUAAGUUUCCACUCAAUUCUGAAUGUUUUAUUCUUUUUCCUCUUUUUAUUGGUUGUAGUAUUAGUUUCUUUUUCUGUUGUUGAAAGAUCUUCAUCCUCUGAUCUAAUUUUAAAUCCUUCACCAAAAAGGGAAUUAUAAAGCUUUUGCCUUGCAAUAUUUUGUUAAUUUAUAUUUUUUUUUUCCCUCUCAUAGGCAAUAGCAAAAAAUGCUUCAAUCCUAUGUUGUUGCUGUCACUAUCGCUGCUUUCCCAUUUGCCCUAGUCCUAAUCCAUGUCAACUUCAUUGAAUUCAGGUGGUUAGACAUCAGGAUAUUUUUACAAUAUUUUUAAUAAUAUUAGAUAGAAUAUUAUCUAUACUGCAAUGUAAGAAUUUUCUUUGCCCUGCAAGUGGCAACUAAAAUAUUUCUAUACUUCAUUAGUACAAAGUGAAAAUUGAACAUUUCUUUCAAAUAGCAAGGCAAAUUAGAAAUCAGUCUUCAAAUGCAAGGUAAACAUGCCUUUGCAGGGCUUUGCAGGGCUUUGUAGGGUGGAAAUUUGAGGCCUACAUUGUCUCCCUAAAUGUGAUUUGGGUGCCAUAGUUCUAAAGAGAUUGUUGCUAUAGAAGAGCUUACAAGGAUGUUGAGAUAUUGCUGUAAGUUCCUUCAUGCACUUCACAGUGAUAGUAAAUGCCUUGUGAUGGCAUCUUAAACUCGUACCAUGGCAUCUGCAUUGCCAGUUCAAAGAUUAAAUGGCCCACAACCAAGAACAAAGUGAAGAAAAUGAGAAAACUCUAAGAAUGUUGCUGUCCCCUUAAGUUUCUCUGGCCAUAAAUUCGCUGCUACAAUAGCUUAUGUCCUUUCUACGCUUUAAGUUUCAGUGCCCGUAGCGGAUAGAUGUCGUUUGGACACUGUUGACCACAAUUGACUAUCGUUGACCAAUGGACCGUUGACUUGGCUGACUAUGCUGGGUUCGAUUCCUGCGCUGGGCGAUAUUGCCAGGGCUAGGGUUCUUCGAUGGGGCUCAAGCUGCGAGCAGUGCCGAUCACGGAGGAUAAUUUCCGGCCUUGGCCAGCUCCUGGGAAAGAUCGGCGACGGAUGCGAGUAUGGAUCGGGAGACGCGCAGCUCAAUCUCGCGAAUGGGAUUCCCAGGUAGUGCAGGCAAAAUGUGGCCGAAAUUUCCAGCGGCUCGGUAGUGAUUGAGUGAGUGAUGGUUCCUUUGCGCAGAUUCUACCUCAUGGAGCUCAAGAAAACGGGGCUGCGAUUCAAAAGGAUAACGCAUCACGCCAGGGUCACGCAGUGUCUGGGAUCAGUGGGAGCUCAUCCUUGGUACAUGGCGGUCUCUCUUCCCAGCAUUGUGGAUCCUUCAUCGCAACACGAGGGCGCUGUUCGAUCCAACGCUGGUGGCCACUCCUAUUUACCUCCCUCUCAUGCAAGCGUCCAGGUUUUCAAGAUAGAUGGUCCUCGCUUCAUCAAGCUAAACGAAGGAACUUGGCACGCUGGUCCUCUCUUUGGCGAUCGAGAUUCGAUGGUCUUCUACAACUUGGAGCUCAGUGACACCAACGUAAAAUCAUUCGAUCGAGCUUGUAGUUACCAUGACUUAUGUUUUCUCCUUUUUCUUGUUGCAGGUUGUGGAUCACACUACCCACGUGUUUGAGGACGACGUACUGAUCGAAGAUUGAGGUACAGAGCCUUGGCAUUUCAUGUGAUAUUCGAGCGUGAUUUUUGUGCUAGGUGCUGGCGAGCUGAAACACUUUUUUUGCGUGUCUAGAAAAGCAAAUGGUGGAAAUGAAACAAGUUCUUUGCGAGCUAAGAAUUUCAUGUCCCUUGCCAUCAAGUUGUCGAGGAGCUCCUUUUGUGCCUCGGGACACUGACUAGUAGUUGAAGGAUGUACAAGAUGAGGCUGAUGAUCCUGGUCGGAAGAAAAUUUACGAACGGGAUGACUCCCACAGACCAUGGCGUCAACUCCCUGGUAUAAAUCUUUCUUAAUUGAACUGUAACACUGUUAGAAUUCUGUGCAGGGUGCUGAUUAUGGUCGAAAGCCUGCUUUGUCGAACACGAGCGAACGGAUGCUGAGAGUAUUCAUGUAAUUUGCCUCCUGCCAGUCCAGCUUGCUACUUCCGCCAAGAACUCGGGUUACCUCAGUCAACAGCAAGAUGGAAAUGUUCCAGAAGUCUUUCUUCUUCAUGUCGGUCACAAACUCGAGCGGUGGAUGAUAUCCUUUGAAAGGUUUUGCUGCUCCUGAAACUUAUUGUUAUUUCAGCUCUUCGUGGUUCUGAUUUUAAUAAUCUAACUUUCGUGACAGCGGAAAAGUACGAACUCUAUGCUUGGAAAGUUUCAAAUCAGUGUGGAGUACAAUUUCAGAAAGGAGAUCUUCUAUGCAGUGAAGGAAGCUUUAUUUUUCAUGUUGAUUAAUGUUUUCUUUCCUAUUUAGAGUUCUGUUAGUGAAUUACAAUUGCGUGAGCGAAGUUGCUGCGACUUCAGAUCUCCUU
rnacentral:lncRNA from 1 species